GGGGGAUCGUAAGACCUUGUGCUUUAGGAGUGGCCGAUGUCUGAUUAGUUAGUUGGUAAGGUAAAGGCUUACCAAGGCGACGAUCAGUAGCUGGUCUGAGAGGACGAUCAGCCACACUGGGACUGAGACACGGCCCAGACUCCUACGGGAGGCAGCAGUGGGGAAUUUUGGACAAUGGGCGGAAGCCUGAUCCAGCAAUGCCGCGUGAGUGAGGAAGGCCUUCGGGUUGUAAAGCUCUUUCAGUCGAGAAGAAAAGGCUAUGCCGAAUAAGUAUAGUUAAUGACGGUAUCGAAAGAAGAAGCACCGGCUAACUACGUGCCAGCAGCCGCGGUAAUACGUAGGGUGCAAGCGUUAAUCGGAAUUACUGGGCGUAAAGGGUGCGCAGGCGGUACUGUAAGUCAGAUGUGAAAUCCCCGGGCUUAACCUGGGAAUUGCGUUUGAAA
rnacentral:rRNA from 1 species